GAUGAACGCUGGCGGCAUGCCUAACACAUGCAAGUCGAACGAAGGCUUCGGCCUUAGUGGCGCACGGGUGCGUAACGCGUGGGAAUCUGCCCUCAGGUUCGGAAUAACAGCGAGAAAUUGCUGCUAAUACCGGAUGAUAUCGCGAGAUCAAUGAUUUAUCGCCUGAGGAUGAGCCCGCGUAGGAUUAGCUAGUUGGUGUGGUAAAGGCGCACCAAGGCGACGAUCCUUAGCUGGUCUGAGAGGAUGAUCAGCCACACUGGGACUGAGACACGGCCCAGACUCCUACGGGAGGCAGCAGUGGGGAAUAUUGGACAAUGGGCGAAAGCCUGAUCCAGCAAUGCCGCGUGAGUGAUGAAGGCCUUAGGGUUGUAAAGCUCUUUUACCCGGGAUGAUAAUGACAGUACCGGGAGAAUAAGCUCCGGCUAACUCCGUGCCAGCCGCCGCAGUAA
rnacentral:rRNA from 1 species